CGAGAUAACAGAAGGAGCUCUCCUGAGUAGAUUUCAAGUCUGGAUUGAUUUAAUUGUGAACAAUGAAGAUAUCUAAUCCUGCUUUAUUCAUGUUCUUGUGGCUGCAGCUGGAUGAGUUUAUCCAAGGAGAGAAAGUGGAUCAGCAUCCUUCUACCCUGAGUGUCCAGGAUGGAGACAGUGCUGUUAUCAACUGCACUUACUCAGACAGUACUUGGGACUAUUUCUCUUGGUAUAAACAAGAAACUGGAAAAGGUCUCCAGUGUAUUAUAGACAUUCGUUCAAACAAGGAGAUAAGUCAAAUCCAAAGAUUCAUUGUUGUGUUGGAUAAGAAAGCCAAACACUUCUUCCUGAACAUCACAGCCACUCAGCUUGGAGACUCAGCUGUCUACUUCUGUGCAGCCAGUGCAUGAUGCUUCCCAGACACCUGCAGCCUGUACUCAAACCUGCCACUGGGCAGAGCUCUACCUGCUUCCUUUGUCACAGUCUUCCCAUAGCAUUUGCCUCAAUGCAAAUGAAAAUAGCAUAUUAACAUUAAAUACAUAUAGUAAACAGGUUGGGUUCAUUAUGACCCAGUUACUUAAUAAUUUUGGUUAACAAUUUUUUCCAACUUUUUUGUGUGUAUU